CCUACGGGUGGCAGCCGAGCUGAGAGGCUGAUCGGCCACAUUGGUACUGAAACACGGCCCAGACUCCUACGGGAGGCAGCAGUGGGGAAUAUUGGGCAAUGGAGGCAACUCUGACCCAGCAAUGCCGCGUGAGUGAUGAAGGUAAUUUUAUUGUACAGCUCUUUUCUUUGGAACGACUAAAUGACGGUACCAAAGGAAUAAGCCCCGGCUAACUACGUGCCAGCAGCCGCGGUAAUACGGAGGAUUCAAGCUUUAUACGGAUUUAUUGGGUUUAAAGGGUGCGUAGGCGGUCGGAUAAGUUAGAGGUGAAAGCCCGAGGCGCAACUUCGGAAUUGCCUCUGAUACGGUUCGGCUAGAGAGUAGUUGCGGUAGGCGGAAUGUAUGGUGUAGCGGUGAAAUGCUUAGAGAUCAUACAGAACACCGAUUGCGAAGGCAGCUUACCAAGCUACUUCUGACGUUGAGGCACGAAAGCGUGGGGAGCAAACAGGAUUAGAUACCCGAGUAGUC
rnacentral:rRNA from 1 species